CUUAGGAGGAGCACUGCACAACCACAGGGGUGCCAUUCGCAAAGAUGAUACCGUAAGUGGCAUCCCCGGGAGCUGCUGGUCCUCAGCUCUAUCAUGGCAACUGAGGCAGCAUUCAGCAUGAAAGUGACCAAGCUCCCUCUUCCCUUUGCGUUACUUCCAACCAAGAAGAGAGCCUCGUGUGACCCAGCCUUCACGUCCCCUACUGAAGCCACAACAAGGCAAGUAUACAAGGCACGUGUGUGUGUGUGUGUGUGUGUGUGUGUGUAUUCUGAAAGUUAAAAACCAGUAGACUGUGCCUGCAUUUUUGCAACUGUGUUAACAUAUGUCUGCACAGCCAUGUAGUGUACUAUACUUGCAAUUUCUUUUCUGUAGAGAUUUAUGUUUCCUGGAGAUUUCUUUCUUUUUUCUCUUGCAUGAUUUGUC
rnacentral:lncRNA from 1 species